UACAGAGGUCCCAAGCGUUGUUCGGAUUUAUUGGGCGUAAAGGGCGCGUAGGCGGCUUUGCAAGUGACGGGUGAAAGCCCUCGGCUUAACCGAGGAACUGCCUGUCAGACUGUGAGGCUUGAGACCGGGAGAGGUGAGUGGAAUUCCCAGUGUAGCGGUGAAAUGCGUAGAUAUUGGGAGGAACACCAGUGGCGAAGGCGGCUCACUGGACCGGAACUGACGCUGAGGCGCGAAAGCGUGGGGAGCAAACAGG
rnacentral:rRNA from 1 species